UUUGUACUCCCUCCGUCCCAAAAUUCUUAUCUUAAAUUUGUCUAAAUACGGAUGUAUCUAGUUACAUUUUAGUGUUAGAUACAUCCGUAUCUAAACAAAUGUAAGACAAGAAUUUUGGGACGGAGGGAAUACUAC
rnacentral:pre_miRNA from 1 species